GGGAAAUGAGGAGUGGUAUAAUCUUGUAAUUUGCGACAAGGGUGUCCGCCCACGCCUGGUUACGACAAUUGGGCACUCUCAUUUAAACCAUCUGAUCCC